rnacentral:rRNA from 1 species
GACGAACGCUGGCGGCGUGCUUAACACAUGCAAGUCGAACGGAAAGGCCCUGCUUUUGUGGGGUGCUCGAGUGGCGAACGGGUGAGUAACACGUGAGUAACCUGCCCUUGACUUUGGGAUAACUUCAGGAAACUGGGGCUAAUACCGGAUAGGAGCUCCUGCUGCACGGUGGGGGUUGGAAAGUUUCGGCGGUUGGGGAUGGACUCGCGGCUUAUCAGCUUGUUGGUGGGGUAGUGGCUUACCAAGGCUUUGACGGGUAGCCGGCCUGAGAGGGUGACCGGCCACAUUGGGACUGAGAUACGGCCCAGACUCCUACGGGAGGCAGCGGUGGGGAAUAUUGCACAAUGGGCGGAAGCCUGAUGCAGCAACGCCGCGUGCUGGAUGACGGCCUUCGGGUUGUAAACCGCUUUCGCCUGUGACGAAGCGUGAGUGACGGUAAUGGGUAAAGAAGCACCGGCUAACUACGUG